UUCCAAGUCAUGUUCUUGUCCAUUAAUAAUUUACUUUCUUGUCCAGAUUGCCUGUGAUAUCUUUGAUAGUAUGCAAGACUGCAAUCCAGUGUUAGCACCCCCAAUAUACUCUACUUAGUUGAUAUUUCAUAGAUCAUUUCAUAUACAUAUAUUAUUAGUGAAUGUUGACAGACACUGCAAAAUGGCAAUAUGAAAAAAAAUUCUAUUUAGUUUGACUGUCUUCAAAUUCUCCUUUACAUUUACUUGUGACCCAGCUCCAAUAUGUUCCUUUUGUUGCAGGCCAUGGCUGACAACUUGUAGGGGCAUCACCAGAUAAAGGAAUUGAUUGUAGGGGCAUCCAUUUUUUUUGCACUGUUAUAAUAGAACCAGUUUGUGGUGCUGAUCCGUUAUUUUUUUGCUUGUUUUUUUCCCAGGGGUAGGAACAAUUGGCGAAACUCGGAUGAACAUGAAAAAGCCAUAGUUGUCAUGUAGUCCUAGUGCUGCCUCCAAGUUAGGUUAUAUUCAAAUCUUAGACAUUUUCUGGUCAGCUUGUAGCUCAUUCACCUAUGUUACUUGUGUUACUUUAUUUUCAGAAGUAAAAUACCUGCAACUAGCACUUCAGAUGGAACUAGUUAGCAAGGCUAGCUACAUAAAUUUUGUCUAAGUAACUGUAAUGUUUUUCCUUGAGUUACUUUUCAGAGACUAGCAAGGGAGCAACGACAAUGCAUGUCAAAGGAUCUUGCAAGUAAACAUGUUGAGUCUAAUUUUGUAAAUAUCCCAUGUUCUAUACUGUAAAACUUCAUUGAUCUUCUCUCUGUUUUUUUGGUUUCUCUCUGCAGAGUUGAAAUCCAUAUUGGUGGUGCUAAGGGACCUCCAGACAGGGUUCUCAGUUCAGCAUCUGCGGCUAUAGCAACAGGAGGCAAUAGGUAGUUUGCAGGGUUGCUUUCCUGAUACAGGGUUCAAGCACAUGCAUUUCAGUUACUUGAGAAAAAGAAUCAAUAAAAAAAUAGCAGCAUCAUUGUUCAGUUACCUGCCAGAGUUAGGCUACUGUGAUGAAUCAACUUGCAUUUCAGUUAGACUUGUGAAUGAUCUGGUUAUAGAACAAUGUCCAACCAGUAGUACUUUUUGAGUUAGAGAACAAUGACAUAAUAAAAAAUCGAUUAAUCUCAUUUCGCUUAUUUAUUAUCUCACACCAUAGUGAAAUUUAGUGAGUCGGCAAUGUACUAUCAUUUUAGAUAUAUGAGCUUACCUGACUACAUCAUUAUGUCAAAGCAUCUUUAUUUUUUUAUGUGUAUACUGUCAUCUAUGCUUGAGUUUGCUAGCUCAAUAGCUCAUGCAGCAACGCAAUGAUUUCUGCUAGCUUCAGUAGUUUCCAUCACAAAUAUUGCCCUCUGACUAAUAUUUGUCAAUAUGCUCUUUUCAUGUUAGGAUGAAAUGGAACAUGGAACCAGCAGUGAGAAGAGAAUGGAAAUUUGAAGGCAAAUUUUAUAACUUUUUGUUGUUUUUGUUUCUGGUGCGUUGUUUUUAUGCAAGAUGAAAAUAUGAAUGUAACUUGCUAUUUUGAUGUGCUUCUCAAUGUAAAUAUGAGAUAUUGUAUUUGAUUUGAUGUUGUGGUAAAUGGGCUGAAAAUUUUAGUAUA